AUCCGUCACCUGACACGGCCCUACCAGGAACAGCCGCGCUCCCGCGGAUUCUGGUGCUGCUCGCGUCCCCGCUCCCCUAUUCCCCUUAUUUUAUUCCUGGCUCCCCUCGUCGAAAGUCUUCCAUUCUUCAAACUAGAUUAUUUAAAAAUGAAAAAGGAAGAAAGGAAAGCGAGGUCAUCUCAUUGCUCUAUCCGCCAAUCAGGAGGCUGAAUGUCAGUUUUGAACUAAAAGCCGCUCCGCUCCUCUUCUAGAUUUGGAAAACAAGCGAAAUUAAACUAAACCGCUGCACGCCUCUGACGCGACAUCUGGACACGGCGCGGCGCUGGCGCUGCCGGAGCUGUCGACCCGGCCUGGCGCCGGACUAGUGUCCCUUUUGAUGAGAAGAAUAAGCCUCAUUCUGAUUCAACAGCAGAGAUCAAAGAAAAGACUUCUGUUUUCUGGCCACCAGAUAUAUGUUAUCUGUGCUUAAAGAAUUGAAAAACACACAUCAAAGGAGAAUUUUCUUGGAAAGAGAGGGUUCAAGCAUCACUGUUAGGUGUGCUGGAAUCCUUUCCCGAGUCAGUACUGCUUUCUAGAAGAAAACCGGGGAGAUCUAUUUGGAAUGUAUCUAACUCCAAAGAAACCAUCAGAGGUAACAGAUUGGCUUCUCUCACAUGGCAAGAAACAUUGCUGCUAGCACUUCCCGAGUUCUACGUUCUACAACAUCCACCACUGCUAUGUCUCACAGUCCAGACUUGGAGUACAAGUAAUAAGAAGAAUAAAACUUAAUCCCUUAAGUAGAUUCACCAUAAGUUAGCUCAGAGCAAUUCCAGUGCAAGUAUGGUCUGUGAUCCAGUAGUAUCUUACAGACAGCAAGUUGAACAUUGUGGGAUGCAUGAGCUAUUGAGGCCUUUGCAGCUUUCUGCUACAUGGAGGCUAGGGCCAGAGUCAAGAUUUAUGCUUUGCAGCACACUGGUCAGCUGUUUUUGCAAAUCAGAUUAAAUGAUUUUUAAAUGAGGCUGAGAGCAUGGGAGAUACUAAUGUGUGUUUCCUUGUGAGCUACUGCAUAAGUUAGGAAAUUGAAAUACAGAAAGAUGAAAAGUGAUUUGCCCAAGCAUAUAGAUCAAAGCUGUGGCAGA
rnacentral:lncRNA from 1 species